CAUACAAUGACUGAUUCAGUAAAAUCAUUGGGUCACUGAACGCGACAAGGGAUAUUACUACGCAAUACCGUUGAAAAUGUUGCAACAAACAAUAAAACAAUAACGGAGAGAAAUUUGAAUUGCGACGCGUACGGAUUUUCUAUUUCUUACGUGCCGACGCUAGAUGGCUAUAGCAUUUGUCGGUCCGUGACAAUCGUUUCAUAUGUAGUAUUCGUUUUGUGUUGUAAGGAGGCGUUUCGAAGGAGCUGAGUCUAUUUUCAUAAUCACGAAUAAAUAACAAUUGAAUCUCGAUCGUCGACAGCGAUUGUCAUAGUAGUAGAGUGCAUACUAGUUCGCAAUUAUAGGUACAAAGAAGGUUUUACAUCUUGACAAAUGCCGAAUACAUCCGCUAUAGCUCAUUUACCAUUAAAGGUGAUAUUUGCUAUUCAUUUAGUGCUAAUAACAUGGGGUAUUCAGGGGAAUUGGUGUCCAAAAUCAGUAAUGUUUUACAAUUUUUUAUUCUUUAUCUGCUUAUUAUGGGCUAUUCAUAAUAUAGAAUCAGACGAACCAUUGCAAUUCGCCUUUUUCAUAAAUGUAGUUUCUAUAUUUUUCGACAUAAUAACAUUAUCAGUUUACUUUCCAACAACAUCUUCGUCUGAGAAGUUUAGCGCAGGGAUUAUGAUUAUAAACAUGAUUGUCCGUAUCCUCACAAGCGUAUAUCUUGUACGAAUAGGUCAAGCAAGAGGUGGAUGUUUAGCAACAAUGUUUGCUUCAAGAUCAGCGAUGGGUCAGUAACACAUUGGAUUCAGUUCCUUGUUUUAUAGGCCUGCAUUGCUUCCGCAAGGUUUUUUGCUCUAAAUGGACUUUGGUCGAGAAGAUUACGAAGACAUAUCUCACCCGAUCCCACAAAAUUCUGACUUUGCUGGAAUUUAAGAAUAAAACAUAUUUUCAAAAUUCUAUGUAUCGAAAAUCACGCGAUAUUGUGUCACAUCUAUGUUAGCUCAUAAGAUGUUCGUUCACACAUAGUUUUCGAUAUUCAAAUCUAUUUUUUGGAAUCGAAAUUCCGUACUUAAAGAGCUCUUAACAACGAUAAUACUCAGUAUGAAUGAGCAAGUGAACAAGGCAAAAAGAGGUGAUUAUUUUUUUCGAAGGAAUCGUUUUCUUUCAUUUUGUACCAGAGCAAUAACAAGAAGCAUCGAAACACGGCCUGCUGUUUCAGCUAUCGUUAUCUGUCCAUAAGUUUAUGACAAAUUGUAUGAUAAUAACACACAAAGAAAUAUUGUAUUAUUGUAAAAAUUAUAUCUUAGUUAUACAUUUCAUACAUCGAACCUACGGAAAUUUAUUCUGUAUGACUGUUUGUAUUUAUAACUUGUGAAUAAAAAUCUUAACA